rnacentral:rRNA from 1 species
UACGAAGGGGGCUAGCGUUGCUCGGAAUCACUGGGCGUAAAGGGUGCGUAGGCGGGUCUUUAAGUCAGGGGUGAAAUCCUGGAGCUCAACUCCAGAACUGCCUUUGAUACUGAGGAUCUUGAGUGCGGGAGAGGUGAGUGGAACUGCGAGUGUAGAGGUGAAAUUCGUAGAUAUUCGCAAGAACACCAGUGGCGAAGGCGGCUCACUGGCCCGGUACUGACGCUGAGGUGCGAAAGCGUGGGGAGCAAACAGG